UACAGUGUGGUGUAGUGGUUUGAGCAUUGGACUAAGACUCUGGAGACCAGGGUUCAAUUCCCAGCUCAGCUA